rnacentral:rRNA from 1 species
UACGGAGGGUGCAAGCGUUAUCCGGAAUCACUGGGCGUAAAGCGCACGUAGGCGGAUUGUUAAGUCAGGGGUGAAAUCCUGGAGCUCAACUCCAGAACUGCCUUUGAUACUGGCGAUCUCGAGUCCGGGAGAGGUGAGUGGAACUGCGAGUGUAGAGGUGAAAUUCGUAGAUAUUCGCAAGAACACCAGUGGCGAAGGCGGCUCACUGGCCCGGUACUGACGCUGAGGUGCGAAAGCGUGGGGAGCAAACAGG